GAGUUUGAUCGUGGCUCAGGACGAACGCUGGCGGCGUGCUUAACACAUGCAAGUCGAGCGGAAAGGCCCUUUCGGGGGUACCCGAGCGGCGAACGGGUGAGUAACACGUGAGUAACCUGCCCCAGUCUUUGGGAUAACCCUCGGAAACGAGGGCUAAUACCGGAUAUGACAUUCCACCGCAUGGUGUGGGUGUGGAAAGUUUUUCGGUCUGGGAUGGGCUCGCGGCCUAUCAGCUUGUUGGUGGGGUGAUGGCCUACCAAGGCGACGACGGGUAGCCGGCCUGAGAGGGCGACCGGCCACACUGGGACUGAGACACGGCCCAGACUCCUACGGGAGGCAGCAGUGGGGAAUAUUGCACAAUGGGCGGAAGCCUGAUGCAGCGACGCCGCGUGAGGGAUGACGGCCUUCGGUU
rnacentral:rRNA from 1 species